AACGAACGCUGGCGGCAGGCUUAACACAUGCAAGUCGAACGCAUCCUUCGGGGUGAGUGGCAGACGGGUGAGUAACGCGUGGGAACGUGCCCUUCAGUUCGGGAUAACCCAGGGAAACUUGGGCUAAUACCGGAUACGUGCGAGAGCAGAAAGAUUUAUCGCUGAAGGAUCGGCCCGCGUCUGAUUAGCUAGUUGGUGGGGUAAUGGCCCACCAAGGCGACGAUCAGUAGCUGGUCUGAGAGGAUGAUCAGCCACAUUGGGACUGAGACACGGCCCAAACUCCUACGGGAGGCAGCAGUGGGGAAUAUUGGAAAAUGGGCUCAAGCCUGAACCAGCCAUGCCGCGUGAGUGAUGAAGGCCUUAGGGUUGUAAAGCUCUUUCGUCCGGGACGAUAAUGACGGUACCGGAAGAAGAAGCCCCGGCUAACUUCGUGCCAGCAGCCGCCGUAA
rnacentral:rRNA from 1 species